rnacentral:rRNA from 1 species
CACGUAGGGGGCAAGCGUUGUCCGGAUUUACUGGGCGUAAAGCGCGUGUAGGCGCCUGUUAGGUCCCACUGUGAAAGGCAGGGGCUCAACCCCUGGAUUGCGAGGGAAACCGGCAGGCUGGAGAGAGGCAGAGGAAGGUGGAAUGGCUGGUGGAGCGGUGAAAUGCGUAGAGAUCAGCCGGAACACCCAAGGCGAAGGCAGCCUUCGUGG